AGGAAGGCCCUUGCAAGAACAGGUGCAUCUGGGGGGCAUUAAGCCCUGAAGAAGUUUUAUCACACAUGUUCGCUAAUGAACAUUUGGAAAACACAAACCAGCGGAGGAGAACCCCUCGCAGGCCCAUCAUGAACACAACACUGCUGUUAACAGUUUUGCUGGAACGAGGCUGGGAGCACGAGGCGUCCGCAGCACGUGGCUGAUUCCCAGCGUUUGCUCACCUGUGUGUAGGUUUCCUUAUAUGGUUGUGAUCAUACUGUUUGCGCAUUUUUAUGCUUCUUUUUU
rnacentral:lncRNA from 1 species